GACGAACGCUGGCGGCGUGCUUAACACAUGCAAGUCGAACGGAAAGGCCCUGCUUUUGUGGGGUGCUCGAGUGGCGAACGGGUGAGUAACACGUGAGUAACCUGCCCUUGACUUUGGGAUAACUUCAGGAAACUGGGGCUAAUACCGGAUAGGAGCUCCUGCUGCAUGGUGGGGGUUGGAAAGUUUCGGCGGUUGGGGAUGGACUCGCGGCUUAUCAGCUUGUUGGUGGGGUAGUGGCUUACCAAGGCUUUGACGGGUAGCCGGCCUGAGAGGGUGACCGGCGAAAUUGGGACUGAGAUACGGCCCAGACUCCUACGGGAGGCAGCGGUGGGGAAUAUUGCACAAUGGGCGGAAGCCUGAUGCAGCAACGCCGCGUGCGGGAUGACGGCCUUCGGGUUGUAAACCGAUUUCGCCUGUGACGAAGCGUGAGUGACGGUAAUGGGUAAAGAAGCACCGGCUAACUACGUG
rnacentral:rRNA from 1 species